GCUUUUAUUUUGUCAGUGUUCCCGGAAGCUGUGUGCGUGCUGCGCUGCGGCCGUUGACCUGGUUUCCGCCGCUGUGACGGACACAAACGCUCCGCGGAGGGAUUUCACGGAAGAUGCUGAAGAAACGGGAGCUGCUGAAGAUUCCCAUAAUCAGAGUCCUGGAGCCAACUAGAAUGAAAUCUGGGAGAUCGAUCCUGUGUCGGGUCCAGUACACAGUGGACAUCACCAGCAGUUAUGUGUUGGCCAGGGUAGGAUGAUUGGUAAAAGGAGGGAUCAUCCCCAUUAGGAUCUGGGUGGAUAUUAUGGUAUGUAUGACAUAUCUCCCUGAUGGGUCUAUAUAUUUGUUUUUUAACUGAAAGGGGGGCAGAUUUAU